UAGGGAAUCUUCGGCAAUGGACGGAAGUCUGACCGAGCAACGCCGCGUGAGUGAAGAAGGUUUUCGGAUCGUAAAGCUCUGUUGUAAGAGAAGAACGAGUGUGAGAGUGGAAAGUUCACACUGUGACGGUAUCUUACCAGAAAGGGACGGCUAACUACGUGCCAGCAGCCGCGGUAAUACGUAGGUCCCGAGCGUUGUCCGGAUUUAUUGGGCGUAAAGCGAGCGCAGGCGGUUAGAUAAGUCUGAAGUUAAAGGCUGUGGCUUAACCAUAGUACGCUUUGGAAACUGUUUAACUUGAGUGCAAGAGGGGAGAGUGGAAUUCCAUGUGUAGCGGUGAAAUGCGUAGAUAUAUGGAGGAACACCGGUGGCGAAAGCGGCUCUCUGGCUUGUAACUGACGCUGAGGCUCGAAAGCGUGGGGAGCAAACAGGAUUAGAUACUCUGGUAGUCCACGCCGUAAAACGAUGAGUGCUAGGUGUUAGACCCUUUCCGGGGUUUAGUGCCGCAGCUAACGCAUUAAGCACUCCGCCUGGGGAGUACGACCGCAAGGUUG
rnacentral:rRNA from 1 species